ACGUACACUCCUACGGGAGGCAGCAGUAGGGAAUCUUCCACAAUGGGUGCAAACCUGAUGGAGCAAUGCCGCGUGAGUGAAGAAGGUCUUCGGAUCGUAAAGCUCUGUUGUUAGAGAAGAACACGUGCUAGGUAACUACUAGCGCCUUGACGGUAUCUAACCAGAAAGUCACGGCUAACUACGUGCCAGCAGCCGCGGUAAUACGUAGGUGACAAGCGUUGUCCGGAGUUAUUGGGCGUAAAGGGAGCGCAGGCGGUCUGUUUAGUCUAAUGUGAAAGCCCACGGCUUAACCGUGGAACGGCAUUGGAAACUGACAGACUUGAAUGUAGAAGAGGAAAAUGGAAUUCCAAGUGUAGCGGUGGAAUGCGUAGAUAUUUGGAGGAACACCAGUGGCGAAGGCGAUUUUCUGGUCUAACAUUGACGCUGAGGCUCGAAAGCGUGGGGAGCGAACAGGAUUAGAUACCCGGGUAGUCCCAUGA
rnacentral:rRNA from 1 species